UCUCCCACAUUCCAAGCAAAUGCUCUAACCACUCAGCUAAAAGUUAUAAGAUGGGUACUACCAUUGCUGGUACCACCCAUUUUGUGUGGCUGAAGCAGGCACCUAACUCAUUCUCUCAAGGAAUAGCUUAGGCACCUAGGCCACUGCUGAGUUACCUUUCAUGGACUGCAAAACAGAGAUAGGCACAGCCUGGAUUUAGGCACCUAUUUCAGAGAGAGGCAGAUUUUAGCACACAUCCCUGUCAUCAGCAUCUCCCAUUGCCUAGCUUAGGUGACUCCCCAUCUAUUAUACUGGCUUCUGUGAAUCACACUAUUAGCUGCUUAAUAUCUCUCCCCAUUCAGUGUACAAGGAACCUAAGCACCUAAUUCAGGCUGUUAGCAUUGUCCCUGUGGUUGUCUAGGUACCUAAAAGUUAAGUGCUGUGACACUCAGCAUUGAAACAUCUAAAGUCCCUUUGUUCAUCAAAAGGGCAAU